rnacentral:rRNA from 1 species
UGAGCAAUCUGCCCUUCUCAUCGGAAUAAGCGUUGGAAACGACGUCUAAUGCCGAAUACGACCUCCUUUCGCAUGAUCGGAGGUGGAAAGCUCCGGCGGAGAAGGAUGAGCUCGCGGCCUAUCAGCUAGUUGGUGUGGGUAAUGGCCCACCAAGGCGACGACGGGUAGCCGGCCUGAGAGGGUGACCGGCCACACUGGGACUGAGACACGGCCCAGACUUCUACGGGAANCAG